rnacentral:rRNA from 1 species
CGUGUAGGCGGUCAGGUUAGUGGGACGUGAAAUGCCCCGGCUCACCCGGGGACCUGCGUCCCAAACUGCCUGGCUUGAGUAUGGGAGAGGAUGAGGGAAUUCCUGGUGUAGCGGUGAAAUGCGUAGAUAUCAGGAGGAACACCGGUGGCGAAGGCGCUCAUCUGGCCCAAUACUGACGCUGAGGCGCGAAAGCUAGGGGAGCAAACGGGAUUAGAUACCCCGGUAGUCCUAGCCGUAAACGGUGAUCACUAGGUGUUGGAGGCAUAGACCCCUCCAGUGCCGCAGCUAACGCACUAAGUGAUCCGCCUGGGGAGUACGGCCGCAAGGUUGAA